rnacentral:snRNA from 1 species
GUGAAACAUGCAGCACAUAUACUAAAAUUGAAACGAUACAGAGAAGAUUAGCAUGGCCCCUGCACAAGGAUGACACGCAAAUUCGUGAAAUGUUCUUAAGUGCU